rnacentral:rRNA from 1 species
GCAGCCGCGGUAAUACGUAGGUGGCAAGCGUUGUCCGGAUUUACUGGGUGUAAAGGGCGUGUAGCCGGGUCGGUAAGUCAGAUGUGAAAUCCACGAGCUCAACUCGUGAACUGCAUUUGAAACUGCUGAUCUUGAGUGUCGGAGAGGUAAUCGGAAUUCCUAGUGUAGCGGUGAAAUGCGUAGAUAUUAGGAAGAACACCAGUGGCGAAGGCGGAUUACUGGACGAUAACUGACGGUGAGGCGCGAAAGCGUGGGGAGCAAACAGGAUUAGAUACCCC